UACGAAGGGGGCGAGCGUUGUUCGGAAUUACUGGGCGUAAAGGGCGCGCAGGCGGCUCUGAAAGUCAGAUGUGAAAGCCCCGGGCUUAAACCUGGGAAUUGCAUUUGAUACUCUGGAGCUUGAGUACGGGAGAGGAGAGUGGAAUUCCCAGUGUAGAGGUGAAAUUCGUAGAUAUUGGGAAGAACACCGGUGGCGAAGGCGGCUCUCUGGACCGAUACUGACGCUGAGGCGCGAAAGCGUGGGGAGCAAACAGGG
rnacentral:rRNA from 1 species